ACUCUCCAAUUUAGGCUCCUUAUUGCCCAUUCAUUUCUAACAGCUGUUUCUAAUGGUCAGAUGGAAACUGUAAGAGGAAAUGGUCUGAGUUCAGCUCUGCAAAAGAAGAGAUAGAAAACCAUAUUACGGGCAGGUAUAGAGCAGUGUCCCAUUUGGGAACGUCAUCUCCUUUUUCCCUGGGGCAGCAAGCAUCCAGCUCAAGGCACCAGGGUUAAUGUCCUUUGCAAAUACUUAUCCGGCCUAAUAGAUCUGGGGAUACUGCUAUCACUCACAGAUAUUUCAAAAUCUCUCCUCUUAAUCCUGACAAGCUCUUGCCCUUAAUAACUUCAGUGGGACUCUUGCCAGAGCAAAGACUGUCAAGUCAGAUUCUCAAAUGUAACAAAAAGAAAAGCAGGAAAGGAAGUUCAAGGUGGGUUUUGUUUUUGUUUUUGGUGCUUUUUAUGGACGUUUGUGGAUGGAAACUUGGGAUUUUUUCCUUCUGAUUAUCUAAAUGAUGGAUGAGUCAAAUGUCCUGUGAAAGUCUUCCAGAUCCAGCCACAAAUGGCAUAGGAUGAAGAGAGCAAAGCCAACAGGGGCUGAGAACAGACAGAGAAAGAAGACUGAGAGAGUCAAAUGGAAGAGAAACAGCAGACUCAAUGGGAAGAAGGAGAUUUCAGAGGGAAGCGGGGAUCAUUUGUGGAGCUUAUACACAGAAAUAUCCAUUUUUGGUUAGUGAAUAUUUAAGAAUGUUGUGUCAUAACGUAUAAUGUAAUAAUGUAAUAAUCAGUUGUUGUGAGUUAGACAACUGGUUGCUCAUGGCUGCAGUGUGUUAGGUGGUACCUCCUUACAUCCUUUGGACACUUUUUGCAGUGCUCAUUCUCCUGUGACACAGAUUAUCUCAGCUUUCAUUAAAAGCGAGAGGAAUAUUUCUAUACUCUCUCUGUCACAGAAAACCUAGAAAACAUGGAGCUGAGAGACACAAAGCAAAUAAAGCCCCAGUUCCCAUUUUGAGGCAUUCUCUGAUUGCUGGAGACGUUCUCGCUCUGGGGAUGAGGAGGGCAGAUCGAUGGUUUGCAGCACUGAAGGCACACACUGCUGAUAAGCAAUGAGCUCUUGUGGCGAUAUGAGCCACAGGAGGCAACAAGCAGCAAGAACAGAAGACGGGAGCGGCUUUAAGAAAGACUUGGCCUUUUCCUGCAGCCCUUUCAGAGCAGCGCAAGGUGCCCUAGGAUCCCUCCAGGCAGCAGCUCUGAAGCAGGACAGCUUUCUCUGCUCAGCUCUACAUCGUCCACGUGAGGCUUGGCAAGCUGACCUCCCCCUGCAGGGCAGGCUUGAUCCAGCUCCCACUGAGAGAUAUGAAAUUGCUUCAACAGAAACAGGACCUGACCUUAAGUGAGAGACAAGCCAGGACCUGGAGCAGCCCCAGCCGCGUGACACAGGCACAGACACGCCAGCAGCCACCUCCUCACCCUGCCCUGAUGCCCUUGGAAACAGGUGUGAUGGAAAUACCAUGGAAACGUGAGACAAGUGGAGCCAUCAGUUCACAGCCUCUCCAGCAGCAGUUUCAUCAGGGAGAGCAGAGCUGACAUCACGUGG